GGUUAAGCGACUAAGCGUACACGGUGGAUGCCCUGGCAGUCAGAGGCGAUGAAGGACGUGCUAAUCUGCGAUAAGCGUCGGUAAGGUGAUAUGAACCGUUAUAACCGGCGAUUUCCGAAUGGGGAAACCCAGUGUGAUUCGUCACACUAUCAUUAACUGAAUCCAUAGGUUAAUGAGGCGAACCGGGGGAACUGAAACAUCUAAGUACCCCGAGGAAAAGAAAUCAACCGAGAUUCCCCCAGUAGCGGCGAGCGAACGGGGAGGAGCCCAGAGCCUGAAUCAGUGUGUGUGUUAGUGGAAGCGUCUGGAAAGGCGCGCGAUACAGGGUGACAGCCCCGUACACAAAAAUGCACAUGCUGUGAGCUCGAUGAGUAGGGCGGGACACGUGGUAUCCUGUCUGAAUAUGGGGGGACCAUCCUCCAAGGCUAAAUACUCCUGACUGACCGAUAGUGAACCAGUACCGUGAGGGAAAGGCGAAAAGAACCCCGGCGAGGGGAGUGAAAAAGAACCUGAAACCGUGUACGUACAAGCAGUGGGAGCACAGAGCAAUCUGUGUGACUGCGUACCUUUUGUAUAAUGGGUCAGCGACUUAUAUUCUGUAGCAAGGUUAACCGAAUAGGGGAGCCGAAGGGAAACCGAGUCUUAACUGGGCGUUAAGUUGCAGGGUAUAGACCCGAAACCCGGUGAUCUAGCCAUGGGCAGGUUGAAGGUUGGGUAACACUAACUGGAGGACCGAACCGACUAAUGUUGAAAAAUUAGCGGAUGACUUGUGGCUGGGGGUGAAAGGCCAAUCAAACCGGGAGAUAGCUGGUUCUCCCCGAAAGCUAUUUAGGUAGCGCCUCGUGAAUUCAUCUCCGGGGGUAGAGCACUGUUUCGGCAAGGGGGUCAUCCCGACUUACCAACCCGAUGCAAACUGCGAAUACCGGAGAAUGUUAUCACGGGAGACACACGGCGGGUGCUAACGUCCGUCGUGAAGAGGGAAACAACCCAGACCGCCAGCUAAGGUCCCAAAGUCAUGGUUAAGUGGGAAACGAUGUGGGAAGGCCCAGACAGCCAGGAUGUUGGCUUAGAAGCAGCCAUCAUUUAAAGAAAGCGUAAUAGCUCACUGGUCGAGUCGGCCUGCGCGGAAGAUGUAACGGGGCUAAACCAUGCACCGAAGCUG
rnacentral:rRNA from 1 species